rnacentral:lncRNA from 13 species
GUGAGAAGUACAAUCAACCAGUUUCUGCUUGCCUGGGCUGUAUUUGUCAGGAGAUGGAGAUAUGUCUCUUAGGGAUAGUUCUAAAUAUACCACAUGGGAUCUGAUGGCCAAUUUCCUACACACGACAGAAAGCUGUGAACAUCGUGGUGGGAUAUCAGAUCUUGCAGUCUAGCUGCUCUCCAGUUAAGUAACUGUACUACUGAACUGUAGAGGGAAGAGCAGCCGUAGUGAUCUGAGAUGCUCUGUCACUGAAGGACUGCAUGACGGGAGACCAUAAAUAAUAAGAUUCACCAAUGUAUGCCGCUGCCUUCUGUUUUUCUUUUUGUGUUUCCCAUCUCUGACUCAUCACGUCCAUCUGAAGUUUAUCUUUGCUUUUCCUAUAUUAGCUUUUCUGCUGCUUACUUUUACCUACUUCUAUUUCCUUCUUUUCUAUCCCUGUGGUCUUUCUUAUCUGUAAAUGGUCUCUUCCUCCACUUUUUCAUUUGCCUGUAUGCAAGCUCUCUUCUGGUAAAUGAUACAUGAUCCACCUUUUCCCGCUCUGCAUUUCUUUCUCCAUCAUCAGAUUUUAGUUUGUAUCAUGGUAUCUGUCACACCCUUUCCCUCAGGGAUCUCAUGCUUCUUGACAUCUCUCCUGAAGACUGUCUCUGCUUCCUCUCUGGAACCCAUGCCACUUUUCCACUCCUUUCCCUGUUUCUGCUUCUCUUCCCUCACUGUUUUUUUCUCUGCUUUAAAUGCAUCUCGCUCCACCAUUGAUACAGGCAGCUGUUCUGCCCUGCAGUGGAUUCUGGCAUUGUUCUAUCUCCAUUUGCAAACAAUACUAUUAAAGAUCAUCUAGAUGGGAUGUCUUAUGAAAAAAAGAUUGGAAGAUGAUAACACUUCUAGGAGAAACUCUUGAAUCAUUUAGUCCAGCUUUCUGAAUUAGACAAAGCACCUUGCUGUGUGUUUACACUUGACUUUUAAUUAACUCUUGGAUGUUUGGAUCAGCAUCUUAGCAGUCAGAGAGACCUUGUGAAGCUGUUUCCUUCCACUUAGUAGCCUCCUGUAUGAUGUGAAAAAAAUGAUCUGCAAAUUUUUUUGUGUUUUUUUCCCCUGAUAGCUUUUAAUCCACAUGAAAUGUGAAAAUGUCAUUUCUUCCAAACAACAGCAAUAUAUUUGAUUGUAUAUAAAUUGUAUUUUCAUAUGCUUUUUCCAGAUCAAAGUAUGAGAAACAAUAUAUAUGUUGUCUCUGGAAGGGGCAGAGUUUCUCUAGAAUAAUACUACUUCUGUAGACUUUUUAAGGGGCUCUGUUCUGAUGGUAUCCAGCAAGAUAAUUUGCUUCUGUGACUUCUUUUCCUCCAUUGUCUUCUCUUUAAAUUAAACCAAAGGAAAUUUUGCCAGACCAUUUCCGUUGAGAGGAAGACUGCAAUAUGUAUCUGUGCCAGCCAAACAGCUAAUUCCCUGUUUCAUUUCCUGAAAACACCUGAAUAGGGCUGAGCUGCUGGGUGUCUGGGCUUCCCCCUGUCUGUAUUGUAUCUAUUAUCUCAGACUCUGUUCAGAAGACUAUAUAAAAGAGCAACAGCAGUUGUGACCAGCCACACAGUAAGUAUAUUAAAAGUUCAUCCUUCCUCCCACAAACAUAUUUGUUUAAUAUUAUAAUAUUUGAAAGAAGUUCAGUCUGUAUUUUUUUAUGACUAAGCAGAGUUUGAAGUAAUGGAUAUGUUGCUAGUUCAGAAUGCUCCUAGGGUCUUAGACCCCCUGACUUUUGAUGCUGGGCACUAAUGCAGUGUUUCAGUUUCAGAACUUGCACAUUUUGAGUGGUAGGGAAAAUAUAAAGGGAUCUUGAAAACACUUGUGUGGUAGCAGCCGUCAUCACAGACCAGAUCCCAAAGGACAGAUUUGCAUUGCACUUGCCACCUUAGUCAUUGUGUUGCUGAAUGUCUGAUCAGCCAAGUCAGAGUUCCUAUUCUCUAAAGAGGGUUCUUUGGGUCACUUACUGAUGUAUUUAUUAAUGCAAACUAUCUGUUCAGCUCUGAUCUGUUCUACUUUUGCACAUCUUUUUAUGAUCUUGUGCAUUUUUCCCUCUUUACCUUUAGUCUUUAUGCUGAAAAAUGCUAAAACAAUAGUUAUCAUAUGUUCAAAUGGACUUUGUCUGCUUCUUAUUAAGAAGAAAUCUUUGUUUUUUCAGUAAAAUCUGUGGAUCUGUUUGGAAAAGCUUUUUUUCAAGGAGACAAAAUUUUCAUUGGAAAGGUAACGUAAUAUUCUUGUUUGUCUCACUUAGAAGUGAUUCUUCCUUGAGGGCUAGUGUAAAAUCCAGCUGAGAAUAUCUUUGGUACCAUCCUUUACCUUCAGUGUUGUGAAGAUGCAAGGGAUUUCAACACCUUGGCUGCCUGAACUGGGAUGGUGCCGAGAAGAUAUAGGCAGAAUGGCUCUGUGGGUCGACAUCUUAAACCAAUGGCAG